rnacentral:rRNA from 1 species
GAUGAACGCUGGCGGCGUGCCUAAUACAUGCAAGUCGAGCGAAUGGAUUAAGAGCUUGCUCUCAUGAAGUUAGCGGCGGACGGGUGGGUAACACGUGGGUAACCUGCCCAUAAGACUGGGAUAACUCCGGGAAACCGGGGCUAAUACCGGAUAACAUUUUGAACCGCAUGGUUCGAAAUUGAAAGGCGGCUUCGGCUGUCACUUAUGGAUGGACCCGCGUCGCAUUAGCUAGUUGGUGAGGUAACGGCUCACCAAGGCAACGAUGCGUAGCCGACCUGAGAGGGUGAUCGGCCACACUGGGACUGAGACACGGCCCAGACUCCUACGGGAGGCAGCAGUAGGGAAUCUUCCGCAAUGGACGAAAGUCUGACGGAGCAACGCCGCGUGAGUGAUGAAGGCUUUCGGGUCGUAAAACUCUGUUGUUAGGGAAGAACAAGUGCUAGUUGAAUAAGCUGGCACCUUGACGGUACCUAACCAGAAAGCCACGGCUAACUACGUGCCAGCCGCCGCGGUAA